rnacentral:rRNA from 1 species
UACGUAGGGUGCAAGCGUUAAUCGGAAUUACUGGGCGUAAAGCGUGCGCAGGCGGUUUUGUAAGUCUGUCGUGAAAUCCCCGGGCUCAACCUGGGAAUGGCAAUGGAUACUGGCGAGCUAGAGUGUGUCAGAGGAUGGUGGAAUUCCCGGUGUAGCGGUGAAAUGCGUAGAGAUCGGGAGGAACAUCAGUGGCGAAGGCGGCCAUCUGGGACAACACUGACGCUGAGGCACGAAAGCGUGGGGAGCAACAGG